rnacentral:lncRNA from 1 species
UCUGGGAGGUUCCGGUGGCUCCCCGCCCCUUGCACGCUGACCUUCCAAGGCUCUGAUGUCCUACUCUCUGCAUGCUGACGGUGAAUUACUAUUGCAAUAAGCCAGCUACUUCCCAGCGAUCGCAACAUUGGAGCCCUGGCCGCGUUCUCAGACACUCACGGGCACGUGAGUCACCAGGGAUCUUGAGAAUGUGAGGAUCCCCCUUCAGGUGGAGUGGGGGUGGGGUCUGCAUUCUAACAAGCUCCCAGGUGAUAUAGGACCUGGGGUGGCCCACUGAGAAUCAAAUACCACGGUAGUCUCUCUCCUCCCAUCCUUCAUUCUAUUUUUAGUGUUUAUUUAUCCUUGAGAGAGAGAGAGUACGAACAGGAGAGGGGCUGAGAGAGAGGGGGACACAGAAUCUGAAGCUGGCUCCAGGCUCUGAGCUGUCAGCACAGAGCCCGAUGCGGGCUCGAACUCACGAACCGGGAGAUCAUGACCUGAGCCGAAGUGGGACGCUUAACCGACUGAGCCACCCGGGUGCCUGACCCCUCCUCAUUCUCAAAUCCAGUGGCUCUCAACUGGGGGCCCUUAGGCCUACCGGGGAGACAUUGUUGGGGGUCACGACGGGUGGUGUUGCCGCUGGCCGACCAGCAGACAGAGAUCAGGGGUGCUGCUGAGUCUCCCGCUCUGUCCAGGACAGCCCCGCGGCGGAUAAUUAUCGGGCCCCAAACGUCAAUAGUGUCCCGGUUGAAAAACCCUACAUCCCAACUCUGUAGGACCUAAUUUCGUGGACACGUGAGAGUUUCCUCGGGUUCUUCGAAGAAUGUCGGUUCCCGGGGUCUCUCCCAGACCAUGACAUCACGAUCUCGGGGGUGAGACCUGGGUUCUGUACUUGUCAGAUGCACUCGCGGGUCCGCUGUGCAACCCCGGCUGAGAAGCAGGCCUCCACCAGCACUGACCGCUGCGAUGGAAGCCGUGGGCUGGGGGCGAGGGCUGGUGUUUGGGGCUUUUCACACGCCCUCUGCUUGGCUGCACAGCACACGUUCUUACUAACAUCAGCUGCCAGGGUGUGGAGCAGCCCAAACACAAACCGAGUUUUGUGCUCUGCUCCGUCAGGACCUGGGAAAACCCCGAGGGCCACUCUGUGUGCGUGGCGGGGGGGGGGGGGGGGGGGCUCAGCCUCCACCCCGGGGAGAGCUGACGGGUCCCCUGCUGCCCCCUCCCCCCAUCCCCUGGCCGUGAUUGGCUUCCGGGAGCACAGACACUACACGGGAGUUUUCACCUCAUUUUUAGGAAAAUAGGGGGUGAAUGGUUAAUAACAACAAUCGUCCUGUGGUUGCACAGGCGAGAAAAUGAGGGGCCGGGAGAGCGGGCUGGGCUGCCUAGAAAACAGGCAGAGCUGGGAUCAGAACCUGGAACUUCUACGGUCGAAUCACAUGAAAUCUCCACCGUUCUUCCACUUUCCACAGAAUUGAUUUGUUCGCUCAUUCACGCGGUCAUUCAUUCGUUCGUUCAUUUGUUCAUUCAGACGCAUGAAAAAUCUGCAGUGUGUGCCAAGGAUCCUUCCAGUGGCCGGACAAACAAGGCUUGGAGAGCCCGUGCCCACGCACAUGAGGGGACCCGAUCCUUACGAUGCAGGGUGAUGGAUGCCCCUGGCGGACCACAAAGGAGCGGACCGUCACGCUACCCUCAGCCUGCAUCCCGCCAGCUGUGGGACACUGAGCAACUCACCGCACCUCUCUGAUCCUCAGCGGCCUCAUCUGUGAAAUGGGUACAGCAACUUCGUUCUCCUGCACUGUUGUGGUUGUAAGUUGAAAUCAUCGAAGCGACAGGUCUGCAGGAAAUGUCGAUUCAUCCACUCACGGCCUCUCUACCACACUGGGCGGAAGAGAAGGUGCACGGUGAUGGGAAGAAGUUGAAUCAAAGAAAGAGUAAUAACUUCGUUUGUUUUUCCCUUUAGAAGGAAAGCAGGCGUUCUUAUUAAACGGGUUGUGGGGUGCCUGAGUGGCUCAGUCCGUUAAGCAUCUGACUUCAGCUCAGGUCACGAUCUCUUGGUUUGCGAGUUCGAGCCCCGCCUCGGGCUCUGUGCUGUCAGCUCGGAGCCUGGAGCCUGCUUCGGAUUCUGUGUCUCCCCCCUCUCUCUUCCCCUCCCCCCCUCGCUCUCAGUCUCUCUCUCUCUUUCUC